rnacentral:rRNA from 1 species
AGGAAAAGAAACCAACAGGGAUUGCCCCAGUAACGGCGAGUGAAGCGGCAGCAGCUCAAAUUUGAAAUCUGGCCCCCCGGGGCCCGAGUUGUAAUUUGCAGAGGAUGCUUUUGGCGAGGCGCCUUCCGAGUUCCCUGGAACGGGACGCCGCAGAGGGUGAGAGCCCCGUCCGGUCGGAAGCCGAGCCUCUGUAAAGCUCCUUCGACGAGUCGAGUAGUUUGGGAAUGCUGCUCUAAACGGGAGGUAUAUGUCUUCUAAAGCUAAAUACCGGCCAGAGACCGAUAGCGCACAAGUAGAGUGAUCGAAAGAUGAAAAGCACUUUGAAAAGAGGGUUAAACAGUACGUGAAAUUGUUGAAAGGGAAGCGCUCACGACCAGACUCGGGCCCGGCGGAUCAUCGGCGUUCUCGCCGGUGCACUCCGCCGGACUUCCGGGCCAGCAUCAGUUCGCGCCGGGGGACAAAGGCUCGGGGAAUGUAGCUCCCCCGGGAGUGUUAUAGCCCCCCGCGCAAUGCCCCGGGGCGGCUGAGGUUCGCGCGUCCCGCAAGGAUGCUGGCGUAAUGGUCGUCAGCGACC